AGUCGAACGAUGAAGCCUAGCUUGCUAGGUGGAUUAGUGGCGAACGGGUGAGUAAUACGUGAGUAACCUACCUUUAACUCUGGGAUAAGCCCGGGAAACUGGGUCUAAUACCGGAUACGACCAAUCUCCGCAUGGGGUGUUGGUGGAAAGCGUUAUGUAGUGGUUAUAGAUGGGCUCACGGCCUAUCAGCUUGUUGGUGAGGUAACGGCUCACCAAGGCGACGACGGGUAGCCGGCCUGAGAGGGUGACCGGCCACACUGGGACUGAGACACGGCCCAGACUCCUACGGGAGGCAGCAGUGGGGAAUAUUGCACAAUGGGCGCAAGCCUGAUGCAGCGACGCCGCGUGAGGGAUGACGGCCUUCGGGUUGUAAACCUCUGUUAGCAGGGAAGAAGAGAGAUUGACGGUACCUGCAGAGAAAGCGCCGGCUAACUACGUGCCAGCAGCCGCGGUAAUACGUAGGGCGCGAGCGUUGUCCGGAAUUAUUGGGCGUAAAGAGCUUGUAGGCGGUUUGUCGCGUCUGCUGUGAAAGGCCGGGGCUUAACCCCGUGUUUUGCAGUGGGUACGGGCAGACUAGAGUGCAGUAGGGGAGACUGGAAUUCCUGGUGUAGCGGUGGAAUGCGCAGAUAUCAGGAGGAACACCGAUGGCGAAGGCAGGUCUCUGGGCUGUAACUGACGCUGAGAAGCGAAAGCAUGGGGAGCGAAC
rnacentral:rRNA from 1 species